rnacentral:ncRNA from 1 species
AUAUCUUUUGUGAAGAAGUAGUAAUGAAUUAUAUUUACUUUAAGAGAGUUGAUAAGUGGUGAGAAUCAAUAGUAAAUACCCAUGAAUUCACCUUCACUAAAAAAGAACGUAUAUUGGCGUUAACAAUUAAAGAGCAUGAUAAGUCAUGAAUUAAGGUGGUACCGCGGAACAAUCCGUCCUUAGU